AGGAGAGCCCAAUACUCGGCUUUUUAGGGUUUCACUUAACAGCCGUCACACCUCUUUCUCUCUCAUCAGUCCCUCACUCUCUCUCUCCUCUCCUCUCCUCUCCUCUCCUCCCUCCCCGUCAUUCACCUCUUUCUUUCUUUUCAAACUCAGGCCCUCUCAUUUAGAGGAGCAACGAGAAGACCGACGGUUUCAUACAUUAACUCCCAAGCGGCGUCGGUUUUGGGCGGAGGUGUAACCGGCGAUGACGGAACUCUUGUUCGAAAACCCACUCCGGUUUGACCAGGGUCCGAACCCGGUAAGCGUCGAUUGUGGCGACAUUGAGAACAACCAAGCCCGUAGGCUUCUUCCUCUUUAGAUCUAAGUCGUUGAACGAACCGAUGCUAGCCAACUCGACAAUAAUCAUUUUGAUGGUGCUGAGAUUCCAGAAUCAUAUCAAAAUUUGUCCAGAUUGGUAAAGUUGUUUGAGGAUGAUGUAUGGAUUGAGAUAGCCAAGUACCUAGAUGGAAGGUCUCUGGUGAUGCUUGCCACUACCUGCAAAUGGUUCUACAAUACUCUAUUACCAGAAUGCGUGUGGAAAUAUGCCAGUUUACGUGAUCUAGCAGUUCCUGGUCCAGGAGACGUCUCUUUUAGCUGGAAAAAACUAUAUGGGAAUAUAUGAGUAUCCAAUUGAGAUUCAGUCUGCCAAAAACAUGUUGAAAGAAGUUCCUGAUAACAAAGAAUUGCUGGACAAGAUCAACUCCAAGAUCAAGGCACUUAGGUACCAUAUUUGGUCAUAUUACUGGUUUGAUUAUACCCAGUUAAAUAACAUAUACCGCUAUAAAAAUGAAAAAUACUCUCACACUGCUUUAAACAAGUUCAAUUUAUCUCUGGAGUCAAUUCCUGAUUGGUUAUUCGAGUUCAUGCCCUUACGAGGUGGUUAUUUCAUUGGCAGUGUCAGCCAGCUCGCAUGGAUUUCAGGUGGUUCUUACUUGUUUAGGUAUGGUGAUUAGUAAACCGAGAGUACGUCAAGAUAUGCUACUCAAAUCUUCUCCAGGGGCUUCAACAGUUCAACACAUUUGGUAGUGUUUCCUCCAGUUCCUCCUCCGCUGCCCCCUUUGCUAAAAUCACGCCAAAAUUAAACAACAAUAGGAACAACCCCAGAAAGAACAAUAAUCUGCUGGUGUUGCUGAAACAGUUUCGAAUUAUGAGCAAACGAGAGAGCAACGAAUUGAAUUUGAAUCUAAUCUUAGUUAUAGCAAGUGCAUGACUUGUUUUUAAUUUCUUUAAUUGAUAAAAUCAUUUGAAUGUUGUAUAGCUUUUGCUAAUUGAAUUUGAACUGUAUAUUUGUAUAAAUCAUUAUUUAAAAUUAUUUA